UCUGAUUGGUUGCUAUGGGCAACUGGUUAACUUUUCCUCUACACAGGAUUUGCUAAAUCUUCCCAAAUGUGUAUAUUUGAUAUGCUUCAUAUCUCAGCAUUACAUUUGGAUAUUACAAAAUAUACAGGACAUCAGAAAACAUUACACAAAGAGUAUACAGGAGGACAGAACUAGAAUAGCAGUGUCCAAAUAGUAGUUGCUGCUCUUCAGAAGGAAACAAAAUGUAUAUAUACCGAAUAGCUUCGGAAACCUGAACAUUCCCUCCACCACAGGACUUGGACAUUAUACUUUAUAGUGUUGCUGUGGUUUAUAGACAUCGUUCAUUUUGUGUCAUUUACAUUAGAACCCAACAAGCGCAGACUCUGUAGGAUCCCAGUCACGUUAUAAUCGCCAGUUACAGGAGUCCAUGGCUGCAUGCACAUAGGCUUCAGGAGAGAUCCCCACCUCCCCAUGACCCUCUGCAGCCCCCAUAGAGUUUAGGUAAGAGAGUUUGUCAUUGCCGUCUAUGUAGGCAGACCUGUCCCC